rnacentral:rRNA from 1 species
CUGGCUCAGAUUGAACGCUGGCGGCAUGCCUUACACAUGCAAGUCGAACGGCAGCACGGGGGCAACCCUGGUGGCGAGUGGCGAACGGGUGAGUAAUACAUCGGAACGUGUCCUGGAGUGGGGGAUAGCCCGGCGAAAGCCGGAUUAAUACCGCAUACGCUCUGAGGAGGAAAGGGGGGGAUCGCAAGACCUCUCGCUCAAGGGGCGGCCGAUGGCAGAUUAGGUAGUUGGUGGGGUAAAGGCCUACCAAGCCGACGAUCUGUAGCUGGUCUGAGAGGACGACCAGCCACACUGGGACUGAGACACGGCCCAGACUCCUACGGGAGGCAGCAGUGGGGAAUUUUGGACAAUGGGCGCAAGCCUGAUCCAGCAAUGCCGCGUGUGUGAAGAAGGCCUUCGGGUUGUAAAGCACUUUUGUCCGGAAAGAAAACUUCUGUCCUAAUACGGCGGGGGGAUGACGGUACCGGAAGAAUAAGCACC